rnacentral:rRNA from 1 species
CCCUUAGAUGUUCUGGGCUGCACGCGUGCUACACUGAUUAUUUCAACAAGUGUUUUAACUGGAGAGUUUGCGUAAUCCUGAAAUGUUAUCGUGAUGGGAGUAGAGUAUUGUAUUUGUUAAUCUUUAACGAGGAAUUCCUAGUAAGUGUAGGUUUAUAAGUUGUUCUGAUUACGUCCCUGCCCUUUGUACACACCGCCCGUCGCUCCUACCGAUUGAUUGAUCCGUGAAUUACAUAGAAUUUUGCGUUUUACAUGACGGAAGAUGAAGUGUUUUAAACCUUAUCAUUUAGAGGAAGGAGAAGGCGUAACA